rnacentral:rRNA from 1 species
GACAGAGGGUGCAACCGUUGCUCGGAAUCACUGGGCGUAAAGGGCGCGUAGGCGGGAAUGUAAGUCGGGCGUGAAAUCCCUAGGCUCAACCUAGGAACUGCACUCGAAACUGCGUUUCUUGAGUAUCGGAGAGGAAAGCGGAAUUCCUGGUGUAGAGGUGAAAUUCGUAGAUAUCAGGAGGAACACCAGUGGCGAAGGCGACUCGCUGGACAGACAUUGACGCUGAGGUGCGAAAGCGUGGGGAGCAAACAGG